rnacentral:rRNA from 1 species
AACGAACGCUGGCGGCAUGCCUAACACAUGCAAGUCGAACGAGACCUUCGGGUCUAGUGGCGCACGGGUGCGUAACGCGUGGGAACCUGCCCUUAGGUUCGGAAUAACUCCCCGAAAGGGGUGCUAAUACCGGAUAAUGUCUUCGGACCAAAGAUUUAUCGCCUUUGGAUGGGCCCGCGUUGGAUUAGCUAGUUGGUAGGGUAAAAGCCUACCAAGGCGACGAUCCAUAGCUGGUCUGAGAGGAUGAUCAGCCACAGUGGGACUGAGACACGGCCCAGACUAAUACGGGAGGAAGAAGGGGGGGAGAGUGGAAAGUGGGAUAAAGUGUGACACAGCAAUGACGGGGGAAGGAGGAAGGAGUGAGGGGGGGAAAGAGAGGGGAAAAGGGAGGAGAAGGACAGUAGCGGGAGAAGAAGCGAAGGCUAACUCAGGG